rnacentral:rRNA from 1 species
UGCCAGACUCCUACGGGAGGCAGCAGUGGGGAAUAUUGCACAAUGGGGGGAACCCUGAUGCAGCGACGCCGCGUGGGUGAAGGAGCACCUCGGUGCGUAAAGCCCUAUCGGCAGGGAAGAAAAGCGAACAGGUUCGCCUGGACGGUACCUGACUAAGAAGCCCCGGCUAACUACGUGCCAGCAGCCGCGGUAAUACGUAGGGGGCAAGCGUUAUCCGGAUUUACUGGGUGUAAAGGGAGCGUAGACGGAAUUGCAAGUCUGGAGUGAAAGCCCGGGGCCCAACCCCGGGACUGCUCUGGAAACUGCGGCGCUGGAGUACGGGAGGGGCAGGCGGAAUUCCUGGUGUAGCGGUGAAAUGCGUAGAUAUCAGGAGGAACACCGGCGGCGAAGGCGGCCCGCUGGACCGUGACUGACGUUGAGGCUCGAGAGCGUGGGGAGCAAACAGGAUUAGAUACCCUCGUAU